ACGACGCUGGCGGCGUGCUUAACACAUGCAAGUCGAACGGUGAAGCCCUUCGGGGUGGAUCAGUGGCGAACGGGUGAGUAACACGUGGGCAAUCUGCCCUGCACUCUGGGACAAGCCCUGGAAACGGGGUCUAAUACCGGAUAUUACUGUCGCAGGCAUCUGUGAUGGUGGAAAGCUCCGGCGGUGCAGGAUGAGCCCGCGGCCUAUCAGCUUGUUGGUGGGGUGAUGGCCUACCAAGGCGACGACGGGUAGCCGGCCUGAGAGGGCGACCGGCCACACUGGGACUGAGACACGGCCCAGACUCCUACGGGAGGCAGCAGUGGGGAAUAUUGCACAAUGGGCGAAAGCCUGAUGCAGCGACGCCGCGUGAGGGAUGACGGCCUUCGGGUUGUAAACCUCUUUCAGCAGGGAAGAAGCGAAAGUGACGGUACCUGCAGAAGAAGCACCGGCUAACUACGUGCCAGCAGCCGCGGUAAUACGUAGGGUGCGAGCGUUGUCCGGAAUUAUUGGGCGUAAAGAGCUCGUAGGCGGCUUGUCGCGUCGGAUGUGAAAGCCCGGGGCUUAACUCCGGGUCUGCAUUCGAUACGGGCAGGCUAGAGUUCGGUAGGGGAGAUCGGAAUUCCUGGUGUAGCGGUGAAAUGCGCAGAUAUCAGGAGGAACACCGGUGGCGAAGGCGGAUCUCUGGGCCGAUACUGACGCUGAGGAGCGAAAGCGUGGGGAGCGAACAGGAUUAGAUACCCUGGUAGUCCACGCCGUAAACGUUGGGAACUAGGUGUGGGCGACAUUCCACGUCGUCCGUGCCGCAGCUAACGCAUUAAGUCCCCGCCUAGA
rnacentral:rRNA from 1 species